AUGAUCAAGAAUAGAAGCAGAAGGGAAACAAAGAGUGAAAGGAAAAUUCAUAGUAACCAUAAAGACAACAUGAAAGGUCACCAUGGAACUUCAUAGACUGAUUCCCCAGAGCACUCUUCUUUCUGGGAGGAAACUAGACUGCUUUAGAAAUCACUGCAGGAAUCACAGAGUAAAAUGGAGAAGAACCCAGGGAUGUGUCAUAACACAGUAGUCUGAAAAAGGGCCAGGUAGAAGAGUGGGAAGGACUAUGCCUCUGGCAAGUGCAAGUUCAUAAAUUCCAGUUUCUUCAAGUUACGAGGCACAUCUGCAUCCCCAGAUGAUGGCUACUGGUCAGAACACUGAACUCAUACCAAAAGCUGCUGUUGUUGACAGUUUAAUGUCUAUGGAUCUGACUCGGAGAGAAAUGUGCCACUUACUGAAUCACCAACACCAUAUCUUUGGUGUUGAGGUGGGGCACGCUUACUUUUUCAUCUGAAGAUUGACACAGCCCACCAAGAACAUUUGAAAGAGACAGGAUUGCUGCUGAAAAGGCAUGACAUCAAGCCACACAAAUUGGAUGGUAAGACUAGAGAUUAACUUGU
rnacentral:lncRNA from 1 species